rnacentral:pre_miRNA from 1 species
AUUGUACUCCCUCCGUCCAACAAAGGAUGUCUCAAGUUUGACUAAAUUUGAAUGCAUCUAUACACUAAGUCAUGUCUAGAUACAUCCAAGUUUUGACAAACUUGAGACAUCUUUUGUUGGACGGAGGGAGUAAUGC